UCUUCGCUAGUAUAUCGGUUAGUAUAAUCGCCUCUCAAGAGAGAGUCUCUGAUCUCGUCUGCUCCUCGAGCAGCGUCAGAAGCACGCGAUAGAGCAGGGUUCGACUCCCUGGCGGAGAA